GUUCAACGAUUUGAAAAAUCGUUCACAAUAAAUUAAAUUUCAGACAGACUUGUUUCCGUCUCGACAAAAUUUAAAUAGGUCAAAUAUGCAUUUAAUUUCCGCACGAAUGAAAUGAAUUUGUCUGGAGCUUUGUAAGCGCUCUGCCUUUCGUUUUUGCAGCCCCAGUGCCUCCAGCUGUCAAAUACAUAAAGCACAAGCAAAGUGUGCCUGGCUGACUGACUCGCAGCGAAUGUCCUGCCCUCCUACCAGAUCCUUGCCAUUUCCCACUGCUCUCGAGCUCAAGAGAACACGUGUUCGGGCCACCUUCCGCCUCGACCAUGGACUGUUCCGUACACUUAACUUAUUUGGCUCCAUUAAAAUCUUGCUAAAUAAAU
ensembl:ncRNA lncRNA:CR44482 long non-coding RNA:CR44482